UCCUACGGGAGGCAGCAGUAGGGAAUUUUCGUCAAUGGGCGCAAGCCUGAACGAGCGAUGCCGCGUGAGUGAAGAAGGCCUUCGGGUCGUAAAGCUCUGUUGCGGGGGAAAAAAGGCAGCAUCAGGAAAUGGGGGCUGACUGAUGGUGCCUCGCCAGAAAGUCACGGCUAACUACGUGCCAGCAGCCGCGGUAAUACGUAGGUGGCGAGCGUUAUCCGGAAUGAUUGGGCGUGAAGAGUGCGCAGGCGGUCCUGCAAGUGUGGAGUGGAAAGC
rnacentral:rRNA from 1 species